CCUACGGGUGGGCAGCAGUGGGGAAUAUUGGACAAUGGGGGGAACCCUGAUCCAGCCAUGCCGCGUGUGUGAAGAAGGCCCUCGGGUUGUAAAGCACUUUCAGUGAGGAAGAACGCCUGGUGGUUAAUACCCAUCAGGAAAGACAUCACUCACAGAAGAAGCACCGGCUAACUCCGUGCCAGCAGCCGCGGUAAUACGGAGGGUGCGUGCGUUAAUCGGAAUUACUGGGCGUAAAGCGCGCGUAGGUGGCUUGAUAAGCCGGUUGUGAAAGCCCCGGGCUCAACCUGGGAACGGCAUCCGGAACUGUCAAGCUAGAGUGCAGGAGAGGAAGGUAGAAUUCCCGGUGUAGCGGUGAAAUGCGUAGAGAUCGGGAGGAAUACCAGUGGCGAAGGCGGCCUUCUGGACUGACACUGACACUGAGGUGCGAAAGCGUGGGUAGCAAACAGGAUUAGAUACCCCAGUAGUC
rnacentral:rRNA from 1 species